rnacentral:rRNA from 1 species
AUGAACGCUAGCUACAGGCUUAACGCAUGCAAGUCGAGGGGCAUCAGGAAGAAAGCUUGCUUUCUUUGCUGGCGACCGGCGCACGGGUGAGUAACACGUAUCCAACCUGCCCUUUACUCGGGGAUAGCCUUUCGAAAGAAAGAUUAAUACCCGAUGGCAUAAUGAUUCCGCAUGGUUUCAUUAUUAAAGGAUUCCGGUAAAGGAUGGGGAUGCGUUCCAUUAGGUUGUUGGUGAGGUAACGGCUCACCAAGCCUUCGAUGGAUAGGGGUUCUGAGAGGAAGGUCCCCCACAUUGGAACUGAGACACGGUCCAAACUCCUACGGGAGGCAGCAGUGAGGAAUAUUGGUCAAUGGGCGCUAGCCUGAACCAGCCAAGUAGCGUGAAGGAUGAAGGCUCUAUGGGUCGUAAACUUCUUUUAUAUAAGAAUAAAGUGCAGUAUGUAUACUGUUUUGUAUGUAUUAUAUGAAUAAGGAUCGGCUAACUCCGUGCCAGCAGCCGCGGUAAUACGGAGGAUCCGAGCGUUAUCCGGAUUUAUUGGGUUUAAAGGGAGCGUAGGUGGACUGGUAAGUCAGUUGUGAAAGUUUGCGGCUCAACCGUAAAAUUGCAGUUGAUACUGUCAGUCUUGAGUACAGUAGAGGUGGGCGGAAUUCGUGGUGUAGCGGUGAAAUGCUUAGAUAUCACGAAGAACUCCGAUUGCGAAGGCAGCUCACUGGACUGCAACUGACACUGAUGCUCGAAAGUGUGGGUAUCAAACAGGAUUAGAUACCCUGGUAGUCCACACAGUAAACGAUGAAUACUCGCUGUUUGCGAUAUACAGUAAGCGGCCAAGCGAAAGCAUUAAGUAUUCCACCUGGGGAGUACGCCGGCAACGGUGAAACUCAAAGGAAUUGACGGGGGCCCGCACAAGCGGAGGAACAUGUGGUUUAAUUCGAUGAUACGCGAGGAACCUUACCCGGGCUUAAAUUGCAGUGGAAUGAUGUGGAAACAUGUCAGUGAGCAAUCACCGCUGUGAAGGUGCUGCAUGGUUGUCGUCAGCUCGUGCCGUGAGGUGUCGGCUUAAGUGCCAUAACGAGCGCAACCCUUAUCUUUAGUUACUAACAGGUUAUGCUGAGGACUCUAGAGAGACUGCCGUCGUAAGAUGUGAGGAAGGUGGGGAUGACGUCAAAUCAGCACGGCCCUUACGUCCGGGGCUACACACGUGUUACAAUGGGGGGUACAGAAGGCAGCUAGCGGGUGACCGUAUGCUAAUCCCAAAAGCCUCUCUCAGUUCGGAUCGAAGUCUGCAACCCGACUUCGUGAAGCUGGAUUCGCUAGUAAUCGCGCAUCAGCCACGGCGCGGUGAAUACGUUCCCGGGCCUUGUACACACCGCCCGUCAAGCCAUGGGAGCCGGGGGUACCUGAAGUACGUAACCGCAAGGAUCGUCCUAGGGUA